rnacentral:rRNA from 1 species
UACGUAGGGUGCAAGCGUUGUCCGGAUUCAUUGGGCGUAAAGGGCUAGUAGGCGGCUUGGCAAGUCGGGUGUGAAAACUCCAGGCUCAACCUGGAGCGGCCACUCGAUACUGCCAUGGCUAGAGUCCGGUAGGGGACCACGGAAUUCCUGGUGUAGCGGUGAAAUGCGCAGAUAUCAGGAGGAACACCAGUGGCGAAGGCGGUGGUCUGGGCCGGAACUGACGCUGAAUAGCGAAAGCGUGGGUAGCAAACAGG